rnacentral:rRNA from 1 species
UUAUGGCUCAGGAUGAACGCUAGCUACAGGCUUAACACAUGCAAGUCAGGGGCAGCAUGUGGUUGCUUGCAACCAAUGAUGGCGACCGGCGCACGGGUGAGUAACGCGUAUCCAACUCCCCUUAGUAGAGGAUAGCCCGGCGAAAGUCGGAUUAAUACUCUAUGUUCUUCAAUGCGGGCAUCUAAGUUGAAGCAAAGAUUUAUCGCUAAGGGAUGGGGAUGCGUCUGAUUAGGUUGCAGGCGGGGUAACGGCCCACCUGGCCUACGAUCAGUAGGGGUUCUGAGAGGAAGGUCCCCCACACUGGUACUGAGACACGGACCAGACUCCUACGGGAGGCAGCAGUGAGGAAUAUUGGUCAAUGGGCGCGAGCCUGAACCAGCCAAGUAGCGUGCCAGGACGACUGCCCUAUGGGUUGUAAACCUCUUUUAUACGGGAAUAAAAUGCGCCACGUGUGGUGUUUUGCAUGUACCGUAAGAAUAAGCAUCGGCUAAUUCCGUGCCAGCCGCCGC